GGCGCGCAGGCUUUCUGCCCAGGAGGAGGCUAUUAUCUGCUGGACGAUUUCUCACCUGUGUUCCUAGCACUUAGGAAUUAGGUGAUGAGGUCAAGAUCCCUCAUGGGCAGCAAGUUGUGAACUGGGACUCUGUCCUUGCCCCGCCCACCCACACCCGCUGUGUUCGCUUUGGUCCAAGGGGAUAAAGUGGGGAACCUCUAUGGCUUGGGUGCCCAUUGUGUGUGUGUGGUAUAAUGAGAGCCUUAGACAUUUCCCGGUUAAACGCGCUGUUCUGCAUGUGAAUAAUCUUGAAAACAGACCAGGGCUGAGUC
rnacentral:lncRNA from 1 species